GGCCUGUGAUGUUCAAAUUGUCCGUACCAUCUGAGAUUAAGCUUUUUCACAAUCGCUCUGAUGCAUACGUUAAUUAUUUAUUCUGAGGCUACCUUACUCUCUUUUCUUUUUGUUUAUGGAAUUUUUUAUGUAACUUGAAAGGCAACAAUUUAGAGUCUCUGAUUCACUUUUUUCAUAGUGAUUUCAGUGCUGUACGUUGCCGAUAGUAAUUUGGACCUGAGAUUCUGUCAUUAUUCUACUUAGAUUAAUGCAUUCUUAUGUUCCUAUAUUUUAUCUUAUAUUAUAAAUGUUGUUGAAUCCUUCUUUUCAUGGGCUGUGAUGAGGCAUAGAGAUAGUCAUGCACCACUCUGAUUUUUAGUGCUGAAAAUUUUCUCAUACCCAUUUUUCUGAGCCC